CAAAACCAACCCUAGCUCAUGUCUCUCUCUCUCUCUCUCUCGAUCCACCGUUUGUCCUCCAGCCCCGGCCGCCGCAGCCUCUCCGCUCGACGGACAGUGCACCUGCUGCGACCGUCUUCUCCACCUCCGCGGCAUCAAGCGCCGCCGCUCCUCGCCGUUCCCGGGAACCGGCCGUCUCCAAUCGGAGGGCUUCACAUUUGACGGACACCUUGAGUUCUCCUAGGUUCAGGAGGACAACCACGGGGAGGAAUGGGGAAAAUGUCCUUCUCAUGAGGAUCCAGCCAUGGACAUCGCCGUCCGAAGCGCGGAGCUAGGGGUGGACGACGUUCUAGGGGAUGGAGGAGGGUAACGGCCUGGCCACGAUGAGAGAGGUGGCACCGGUGGGUGCGUGCAAUGAUACCUCCGGUGAAUUAGCGUGCAUGGCCAAUGGAGCUUGGUUGAUGCUGCACGGCGAAAGGGGGCGCCAGCCAUCAGGACGUGACGUCCGCGACACGAGUGACGGAGGGGAGACUAUGGGCACUGGCCGGUCGCGUCCAUUGAACUAGCAAGUUCCUGUAGCCGGUGCUCGCGAGAUCUGACCGCGGGCUGUGAUUCUGCAUUCUGCUCUCCAACUGACCCUUCUUAGACUCGCAUCCACUCCAUUGUGCACCUCCAAUCCAGUCAGGAGGAGUUGGUGCUGAUGACGACCGCAUCCUUCCUUGGGUCCUCCUCUGCGGCGUGGCACAAACCCUAGGCUCCCUGCUCACGAAUCCUCCGAUGUCCUCGUCGGUAAGGCCACGCUCGCCGCUGGAACGCUUCUGGUGAGACACAUCAGUCCUUGUUUUCAGACUGUUGUUGGAUGUUGUUCCAGGUGCAAAAAAAGUACCUUCUUGGCGCUGCUUUUACUGCUCCAUGAUUUGGAUUCUGCUCCAUGAUGUCAUCCGUAGAUUCAAGACUACAUGACUUGGUUCAGAUUUGUUUGAGUAGAGGCUUGAAGAAAUUUUAAUGCAAUUUUGAAUAGUACUUCAGAUGUAGAUGCUCACCAGACACUAGCUAGUACUUUGUAGCUUCCUAACAGGCUGGCGGGAAGAUGCACAUCAGCUGCAUGUGUUAGCAUUCCUAAGUUGACCUUGGUAACAUAGAUCAUAUUCUAGAGAGUGGCUCCUGCUGCUCUAAUGCAUUAGAUUAGAGGAUACAUAACUAGUACACUACUCUAUGUCUGAAUCUUGGUCUGCUUCAAUUGGUGGAGGGUACACCAACAAAUUAUGCACACAUUGUCGAGUCUAGGAACAUCCAUUUUAAUUCUCUAACAACUCAAAGAACAUGAUAAUUAGACUAGGGCAAUGGUUUAGAUUCAGUUGAUGUGUACCUUUUAUAUUACGACAACAUUUGACUAGUAAAACAUGUGUAGUCGCUUCUUUACUCUUUAAUAAUUAACUUGCCAGCUGCACUC